rnacentral:rRNA from 1 species
GACGAACGCUGACGGCAUGCCUAAUACAUGCAAGUCGAGCGAACAGAUGAAGUGCUUGCACUUCUGACGUUAGCGGCGAACGGGUGAGUAACACGUAAGGAAUCUACCUAUAAGCGGGGGAUAACAUUCUGAAACGGGUGCUAAUACCGCAUAAUAUCUUCUUCCGCAUGGAAGAAGAUUGAAAGACGGCUCUGCUGUCACUUAUAGAUGACCUUGCGGUGCAUUAGUUAGUUGGUGGGGUAACGGCCUACCAAGACGAUGAUGCAUAGCCGACCUGAGAGGGUGAUCGGCCACAUGGGGACUGAGACACGGCCCAAACUCCUACGGGAGGCAGCAGUAGGGAAUCUUCCGCAAUGGGCGAAAGCCUGACGGAGCAAUGCCGCGUGAGUGAAGAAGGCCUUCGGGUCGUAAAACUCUGUUAUAAGAGAAGAACAAAUUGUAGAGUAACUGCUACAGUCUUGACGGUAUCUUAUCAGAAAGCCACGGCUAACUACGUGCCAGCCGCCGCCGUAA